rnacentral:lncRNA from 1 species
GUAGUCGUUUUUAUGGUUUUUGGCCAAUUUUAAUGUUUGUAGUCGUUUUUAUGGUUUUUGGCCUAUUUUUGUGUUUGUAGUCGUUUUUAAUGUUUUUGGCCUAUUUUAGUGUUUGUAGUAGUUUUUUGGCCUAUUUGUGUGUUCGUAGUCGAUUUUUUUUUGGUUUUUAGCCUAUUUUUGUGUUGGUAGUCGUUUUUAUGGUUUUUGGCCAAUUUUAAUGUUUGUA